AUUUAUAACAACAAUUUUCGUAAGCAUCCAAUCUUUUGUGAAGAAAAUACUUGUAUUUAUAAUAUGAAAAGUAAAUAUCAAUAAAACAAUCACGAGUCAGAUAAUGCUGAUUUUGAUCUGUAAAUCUCGGUCUAAAUGUGUGGAUUACAAGACAAAAAAUGAAAAGCUUUUUAUGUACUUCAAAAAUAUACUUAUAUACAUAUAUGUGAAACUAUUAAUAAGAUUUCAAAUCCUAACUAAACCAAGAAAUCAAAAAGAAUCACGUCAGUCCCACCCC
rnacentral:lncRNA from 1 species